UACGUAGGGGGCAAGCGUUGUCCGGAAUUAUUGGGCGUAAAGCGCGCGCAGGCGGUCAUUUAAGUUGGGUGUUUAACCCCAGGGCUCAACCCUGGGUCGCACCCAAAACUGGAUGACUUGAGUGCAGAAGAGGAGAGUGGAAUUCCACGUGUAGCGGUGAAAUGCGUAGAGAUGUGGAGGAACACCAGUGGCGAAGGCGACUCUCUGGGCUGUAACUGACGCUGAGGCGCGAAAGCGUGGGGAGCAAACAGG
rnacentral:rRNA from 2 species